UACGUAGGGUGCAAGCGUUGUCCGGAAUUAUUGGGCGUAAAGGGCUCGUAGGCGGUCCAUCACGUCGGGAGUGAAAAGCUGGGGCUUAACCCCAGUCCUGCUUCCGAUACGGGUGGACUAGAGGUAGGCAGGGGAGAACGGAAUUCCUGGUGUAGCGGUGAAAUGCGCAGACGUAUCAGGAGGAACACCGGUGGCGAAGGCGGUUCUCUGGGCCUUACCUGACGCUGAGGAGCGAAAGCGUGGGGAGCAAACAGG
rnacentral:rRNA from 1 species